rnacentral:rRNA from 1 species
GACGAACGCUGGCGGCGUGCUUAACACAUGCAAGUCGAACGGAAAGGCCCUGCUUUUGUGGGGUGCUCGAGUGGCGAACGGGUGAGUAACACGUGAGUAACCGGCCCUUGACUUUGGGAUAACUUCAGGAAACUGGGGCUAAUACCGGAUAGGAGCUCCUGCUGCAUGGUGGGGGUUGGAAAGUUUCGGCGGUUGGGGAUGGACUCGGGGCUUAUCAGCUUGUUGGUGGGGUAGUGGCUUACCAAGGCUUUGACGGGUAGCCGGCCUGAGAGGGUGACCGGCCGCAUUGGGACUGAGAUACGGCCCAGACUCCUACGGGAGGCAGCAGUGGGGAAUAUUGCACAAUGGGCGGAAGCCUGAUGCAGCAACGCCGCGUGCGGGAUGACGGCCUUCGGGUUGUAAACCGCUUUCGCCUGUGACGAAGCGUGAGUGACGGUAAUGGGUAAAGAAGCACCGGCUAACUACGUG